rnacentral:rRNA from 1 species
GAUGAACGCUGGCGGCGUGCCUAAUACAUGCAAGUCGAGCGAACAGACGAGGAGCUUGCUCCUCUGACGUUAGCGGCGGACGGGUGAGUAACACGUGGAUAACCUACCUAUAAGACUGGGAUAACUUCGGGAAACCGGAGCUAAUACCGGAGAAUAUAUUGAACCGCAUGGUUCAAUAGUGAAAGACGGUGUUGCUGUCACUUAUAGAGGGAUCCGCGCCGCAUUAGCUAGUUGGGAAGUUAACGGGUUACCAAGGCAACGAUGCGUAGCCGACCUGAGAGGGUGGUCGGCCACACUGGAACUGGGACACGGUCCAGACGCCUACGGGAGGCAGCAGUCGGGAAUCUUCCGCAAUGGGCGAAAGCAUGACGGAGCAACGCGGCGUGAGUGAUGAAGGUCUUCGGUUCGUAAAACUCUGUUAUUAGGGAAGAACAAAUGUGUAAGUAACUAUGCACGUCUUGACGGUACCUAGUCAGAAAGCCACGGCUAACUACGUG